rnacentral:rRNA from 1 species
GGCGUGCUUAAUACAUGCAAGUCGAACGGAGUUAAGGGGUUUCGGCCUUUAACUUAGUGGCGAACGGGUGAGUAACGCGUGAAUAACCUGACUCAAAGAGGGGGAUAACAACGGGAAACUGUUGCUAAUACCGCAUGAGACCACAACACCGCAUGAUGAAGGGGUCAAAGAUUUAUCGCUUUGAGAGGGGUUCGCGUCCCAUUAGGUAGUUGGAGGGGUAACGGCCCACCAAGCCAACGAUGGGUAGCCGAGCUGAGAGGCUGAUCGGCCACACUGGAACUGAGACACGGUCCAGACUCCUACGGGAGGCAGCAGUAGGGAAUAUUGGGCAAUGGGCGCAAGCCUGACCCAGCAACGCCGCGUGAGGGAAGAAGGUUUUCGGAUUGUAAACCUCUGUCCUAUGUGACGAAGGAAGUGACGGUAGCAUAGGAGGAAGCCCCGGCUAACUACGUG